rnacentral:rRNA from 1 species
GUGAGGAAUAUUGCGCAAUGGGGGAAACCCUGACGCAGCGACGCCGCGUGGAUGAUGAAGGCCUUCGGGUCGUAAAAUCCUGUCAGAUGGAAAGAAAUGUACAUGUGCUAAUAUCACUUGUAUUUGACGGUACCAUCAAAGGAAGCACCGGCUAACUCCGUGCCAGCAGCCGCGGUAAUACGGAGGGUGCAAGCGUUGUUCGGAAUUACUGGGCGUAAAGCGCGCGUAGGCGGCUAUUUAAGUCAGAUGUGAAAGUCCACGGCUCAACCGUGGAAGUGCAUUUGAAACUGGAUGGCUUGAGUACUGGAGGGGGUGGUGGAAUUCCCGGUGUAGAGGUGAAAUUCGUAGAUAUCGGGAGGAAUACCGGUGGCGAAGGCGACCACCUGGCCAGAUACUGACGCUGAGGUGCGAAAGCGUGGGGAGCAAACAGGAUUAGAAACCCGAGUAGUCC